CCGAGUUUACAACUCCCAAACCCCUGUGAACAUACCUAUACGUUGCCUCGGCGGAUCAGCCCGCGCCCCGUAAAACGGGACGGCCCGCCCGAGGACCCCUAAACUCUGUUUUAGUGGAACUUCUGAGUAAAACAAACAAAUAAAUCA
rnacentral:misc_RNA from 1 species